rnacentral:misc_RNA from 1 species
AUGAAAAUCGGUUCUAUUUUAAUUUAUAUUUACCUAUACUAUAUUUUAUUUAUUCCCGUGUGCUCUGAAGAUAUAAAAAUUAUAAGCAUUGAAAAUCCGAUCUAUAAUUCCCGACACUGUGAGCUGAUUGAAAUGAGAGCCGGACAUGUAUAUGAUCCUUUAAUUGAUCAUUUAUUAGAAGAUGGUUGUAGAUAUCCAGUUAGGCAAACUUUUCUGGAAAGAGAGUUUAUUGAAGUUGUAUACGGGAAUGUUACCGGCUAUGUCAGUGGUCGUAUUCAAACUAUUGUUGAAGAUGGAUUUUUGGAUUGGGAUAAUUUCAAACAACGUCACCUUGAAAUACCAUAUGAAUUUCCCGAAGUGAAUGGUUAUAUUUUUGUGGAAGAUUUAAGCCCGAUUUGCUCAAAAAAUGGAAUCCUGUUUCUCAGAAUAUGCUUUUCUAAGAAUCCAACAAGAAAAUUCGGAACACCUGAUGUGUUUCUCACGGCCGAUGGAGCUCUAUUUCAAUUUGAAACUGACGGGCACGUCAUAUCAAGCUCAUCUUGCACUUUUUCAGGAAUUUUUGGCCGAUGUAAGGCUAAAUCUACAGCCAUGAUAUUCCUAAAUGGGAAUAUAUUGAAAAUUUCAUCCAGUUCUUCUCCAAUAAUUUUGUAUUCUUCGUGGACUUUAUUUGGAGUGGCUACCGUCUACGUCCGUCUCUUCAGUUGUCGUGAAAUCUUCGAUAUUCAUUGUCAAGACUACGGAGGAGUUCGCUAUCGAUCCGAAUACGUGAAAAUUGGCGAAUUAGAUGCCGAACAACCGUACUGGUGUGCAUCAGCUGCAGAUUACUCUCAAUUUGAACUUCUUUCUGGUUCAGUAGCCAUGCAUUCGGUCGAUUUUAGCAGUAUUGCCAAUUUGAAGGAUUCACUUGCCAACUCGAAUUCUUUCAAAAUUCGACCGGCGAAAGAUGGAGUAGCACACGGAUUUUCUGUGCAUUUCACAUCUGAUCUAACUGGUCACGGAUUAAAGGAUUAAAGGAUUAAAGGACGAUCCGUUCUUCAAGUGCUAUGCACUGCGGACAAUAUCAUUGACUCGUCGAAAUUAAGGGCAUGGGAUCUUGGAAUUAUUCCAUUCAAGGAACCAUGUUUGGUGAAGUGUGAUAAAGAAUAUGAAGGAUCAUGGAAACUCUUGAAUAAUCGAUUGGAUGUGUACAAUGAUUUUUACGACGAAAAUCUUCAAAAACACGAGGACAGUCUUCGCUACGAGACCGCUUCAAUGGAUCAACUUCAGAAAAUCCGUGAUGAUAGUUAUUUCAAGGCAAUGAUGGGAGAAAUUGAUCCGAUUGAACUUCCAUUUACUCGUGAUAUUUCAUCGAGUAUUCCAGCUCAGUGUGUAUUAAAUACUGUGGAAAGCCAAACGCCUAUAAGGCAUCUUAUUAAUGCCGACUGAAGUUCGUGGAAGAAGAAAUCGAAGAGAUUCCCCAAACUCAAGGACCCUCCAAGGCCCCCGAGCUUCCCCGAGCCACGAGCCCCACGCUCCCGAGCCAUGAGCAAAGCAAGAGAAAUGGAGAUUCGAGUGAUGACGAUGAGUCCAACGAGGAUGAGGACGAAUAAUA